rnacentral:lncRNA from 10 species
AGUCACACAAGUGCUUUUCCUUGAAACAACAUUUAUACUUUUGAAUAUACUACAAAUAUUUAAUAAGCACAGCCUGCCCUCCAUAUUCGUGGGUUGCACAUCCAUGGAUUCAACCAACCACAGAUCAAAAAUAUUCAAGAGGCCAGGUGCAGUGUCUCAUACUUGUAACCCCAACACUUUGUGAGGCCAAGGCGGAAGGAUCACUUGAGUCCAGGAGUUUGAGACCAGCCUGGGCAACAUGGCAAGACCUCAUCUCUUUAGGCAGGGCAGGGAGGAGGGAAGAAAGAAAAAUAUUCAGGGGGACAAAAAUGGAUGGUUAUGUCUGUAUGGAACACAUACAGACUUUUUUCUUGUCAUUAUUCCUUAAGCAAUACAAUAUAACAACUAUUUACAUAGCAUUUAUGUUGUAUUAGGUAUUAUAACUAAUCUAGAGAUAAUAUAAAAUAUAUGGGAGGAUGUUCAUAGGCCAUAUGCAAAUACUACAUCAUUUUAUAUAAGGGACUUAAGCAUCUGUGGAUUUUGGAAUCCUUAGGGAGUCCUGCAACCAAUGUCUGAUGGAUACUGGGGGACAACUAUAUUAUGUACUUCCUAUGUCAUGACAUUGAAUAUUAAAAAUAUAUAUACUUAAGAUUUUGAGGUUUAAUAAAAUUUAUGAAUUUUACUGCUUCAUCAAGGAUAUUCUUAAGGGAAUUUGGCAUUUUUAAAAAUUUCAAUUGCAUGGCAGUGAAGAAUCUAAGAACUAGUAUACUUUGGUGCACUAGUUUUGGUACACUACCUUGAUUUAUUCUAAAGCACUAGCAUUUUUACUUUCCAUUGCUUUUACACCGUCAGUGCAAAUGACAGCAUGGUGAGAAAGGCAAAUGAUGUCCUGUUACCACCAUGAAAAUAGUUUUUAACUCACAGACUCCUGAAAUAGUUUCAGGUAUCCCCAGGAGUCUGUAGACCGGACUUUGAGAACCACUGCCCUACAUGAUUAUCCAAAACAAUAUGUCCCUUGAGUUCUGAAUGGUAGGAGAGGAGAGGGGAAGGCAGAAAAAUUGUCAAACUAGGCUGUUUUUUCUCUAGUUCUGAAAGAGAGUAAUAGGGAAGGAGGAGGUUAUAUUGAGUUUCACAGAAUAGAUUGGGCACCUGAGGGUUUAUCUCACUCAUUUAGUUGCAGUCUUCCUUGUGACAAUUAGAAUUAUGUCUGCUUGGCCUUAAUGGGUCAUAUAUUCCACAGAAUUCUGUACAAAAUGUAAAUAUAAUAUUGUCAAAUGUCUUUUUUUUUUUUUUUUGAGACGGGGUCUUGCUCUGUUACCCAGGCUGGAGUGCAGUGGCAUGCUCACAGCUCACUACAGCUUUGAACUCUUGGGCUCAAGCAAUCCUCACGCCUCAGCCUCCUGAGUGGCUGGGACCACAGGUGUGCACCACUAUGCCCAGCUUUUUUGUAGAGAUGGGGUCUUGCUAUGUUGCUGGGGCUGGUCUCGAACACCAGACCUCAAUCAGUCCUCCCGCCUCAGCCUCCCAAAGUGCUAGGAUUACAGGCAUGAGCCACCACACCCAGCCAAAAGUCUUUUCUAAACAGAAAACUGCUGAUUUAUUGUGAAAACCCAGUCACCCAUUCUCAGAACGAUUGUAACUUUUAUUUUGAAUUUAGAUCUUUUGUAGAAACCAGAAUAUAUAAGGUGGGAUAAAAGCUAUUAGGGUUUCAAGUCUGGGGAAAAGGCACACGGUUUCCAGUUUCAAGGUUUUUUCCAUAUCCUACCAUAACACAGCCCACAGCUUUUUGUUGUUGUUGUUGUUCUGACUUCUCGUCUAUAGACUAAAGAUAGAUAUUAGUGACAUAAUCUUUAAUAAUAAGUAACAGCUCAUUGUCUUGAAUAAGGUAUGUUUACCUUGACUUAAUAUCGUUUGUAUUUCUAAACACAUUUAUAAAUUGAAUCAUAUUUGAAAUGUAUUAGGAAGAUUUGUUCUUUGUUGUUUAUGUUUUUUUAAAGCAAACAAUUGCCCAUUAACUUCUAUUUUUAAAAUUGGUAAUGUGCCUUGGUUGUUUAAAGCAAGAUAUAUCUAUUUAGUCUAGCUUCCUAGAAUUUGUUUCAACUUUAAACCUUUCUUUAAACUUUUAACCCUUUCCUUCAUUCCUAUUCAAUCUUCUGCAAAACGCUCAACCUUUAUUGCGCAAUUGCUGUAUUGAACCCAUUGUCUAAAACUAAACUUUCUCCUCGUAAAGUAAUGUUGAUUUUUCACAGUGAGAUGACUUUUCAUACGUGUUACUAGCCUACUAUCUCCUACUUCUGUUCACUUUGGACUACUGCAGUGGUGACCUAGUUAGUGGUCUCUGCCUGACUAGUCACUUCUGUAUUUAAUUCAUCCAAAAGACUGUUGCAAAAUUUAUUUUCUUUGCAUGUUCCUACCCCAUUCAAGAAUAUUCAUUAUGAGGCCAGGUGCGGUGGCUCACGCCUGUAAUCCCAGCACUUUGGGAGGCCGAGGUGCGUGGAUCACUUGAGGUCAGGAGUUUGAGACCAGCCUGGCCAACAUGAUGAAACCCUGUCUCUACUAAAAAUACAAAAAUUAUCCGGGCAUGGCGGUGGGCGCCUGUAAUCCCAGCUUCUCGGGAGGCUGAGGCAGGAGAAUUGCUUGAGCUGGGAAGUGGAAGUUGCAGUGAGCUGAGAUUGUGCUGCUGCACUCCAGCCUAGGCAAAAGAAUAAGACUCCUAUCUCAAACAAAC